rnacentral:rRNA from 1 species
GAUGAACGCUGGCGGCGUGCCUAACACAUGCAAGUCGAGCGGAAAUAUUCUGAAGUAUUCGUACGGAAGGGUAUUUCAGCGGCGGACGGGUGAGUAACACGUGAGCAACCUGCCUUCAGCUGGGGAAUAACAUUGGGAAACCAGUGCUAAUACCGCAUGACAUCGCGGGGGGACAUCCCCCUGCGAUCAAAGGAUUUCGAUCCGGCCGAAGAUGGGCUCGCGUCCGAUUAGUUAGUUGGUGAGGUAACGGCUCACCAAGACCGCGAUCGGUAGCCGAACUGAGAGGUUGAUCGGCCACAUUGGGACUGAGACACGGCCCAGACUCCUACGGGAGGCUG